rnacentral:tRNA from 1 species
GGUGACUUGGCGCAAUGGUAGCGCACUACGCUGAUACCGUAAAGGUUGAUAGUUCGAAUCUGUCAGUCACCACAA